CCUGCUCUGCCCUGAUCUGCCCUGCUCUGCCUGCAGCUGCUCAAAUGUGUCAUUGGGUUCCUUCUCCCCUCGCUGCAUUUUUAGGAUCCUUUUGCAGAUGUCAGUGCAGACUACAAAGAAGAGCUCACCCCAGAGCUUGCCAAGCUCCUGCACACCUUCCUGGUCCACUCCAGGCUGGAAACCUUCCUGCAGGAGCUCCAUGAAAUGAUCAUCCUGAAGCUGAGGCGUGUCCAAGCCGUGGAGGAGUUCAGACCCAAGUGGAGCCUGAAGGAAUCACUCUUGCCUUACCUUUAUGCCAAAGACUCAGAAUUAGCGCUGGAGCUGGAAGACACAUUCCCAGAUGGGAUUCUUCUGUCUCAUGCCACUGGGACCUGGAAAGCAGCUGCUCUCUUCAAGCGGGAGCACAGGGAGAGUUAGGGCAGGACCCUGCCAGGGAAUGCCACAACGGCUUCCAGAACUUUGGGCAUUUUGUUUGGGGCUUGUUGCUUGUUCUUUGGGUUUGGGGUUGUUGUUUUGACACCUGUUGUGAAGAGGAGAGGGGGCUGUGGAGCAGGACAGUGAAACAGGCCCAACAACUCCGUUGUGAACCCUGGAUCCUCACAGCCCCAGAGCCACUGGAGGAACAUGAAGGACUUUUUUUACAAACCGUGGUGCUGGGGCAGGGCUGUUUCGGGCAGCCUUUCUGUGGGCACGGGGCUGGCAGCACCGCCUCCGGCCCGGCACCUCCCGCUCGGCGGCCCCGGGAGCAGCGAGCCCUGGCGGCCGGGGCUCCUUCCCUGCCUUAAUCCAGCUCCCUUCUCCCUCUCCCCUUCCCAAUAAACUCAGUUCAGCUCCC